UCCGUAGGCGGGCGUCUAAGUCAGUGGUGAAAUCUUACAGCUCAACUGUAAAAUCGCCAUUGAUACUGGAUGUCUUGAAUUAGUGUGAAGUGGUUAGAAUGUGUAGUGUAGCGGUGAAAUGCAUAGAUAUUACACAGAAUACCAAUUGCGAAGGCAGAUCACUAACACUAUAUUGACGCUGAGGGACGAAAGCGUGGGGAGCGAACAGGAUUAGAUACCCUGGUAGUCC
rnacentral:rRNA from 1 species